rnacentral:lncRNA from 1 species
CUCGGGAGUAGCCUGACAGGACAGCCUUGCCGGGCAGGAUGCUCUAUGCUGGACAGGAAGCGACUAAACCAAUGACAUUCUCAAGGAGCUUCAAUACUUCCAAGAGUCAGAAAUCAAGAGAGUGAUAUGGAAGCCAAAGGCACACAGAGAAAACUCAACAUGCGGAGGUCAUAAAACAGCAGAAACCACAAGUCACAGAGAAGAGUGGAAACAGAAGACACUCAGUAGCAGGAAAGCUACAAUCCCUAGAGAGACUGAGGAAGGAUAUGCUUAUUCAGGGCUAUGACUGAGUCUCGGGGGACAAGAAUAAAAGUGGAUUUAAACUUGAUUACCUUUGUGAAGAUCCUAUAGCCAAAUAAGGCCACACUGCAAAGUAGUGGGGUUUAGGACUUCAACAUAUGGAUUUUGAGGUGGCAAAAUUCAACCCAUAAUAGUGUCCAACAGUCAGUGUGACUGGUAUCCUUAUAAAAAGGGGAAAUUUGGAGACAGUGUGCUCACAGGAAGAACGCCCUGUUAAGAUGAAGGCAAAGAUUGGGGUGAUGCAUCUAUAAGCCAAGGAACCCCCCAAAUUGCCAGCAAACUACCAGAAGCUAGCGGAGGGCCACAGAGCAAAUUCUCUCUUUCACAAUCCUCAGAAGGAAGCAACCCCAUUGACACUUUGAUCUCAGACUUCUAGCCUGCAGAACUGAGAGACAAUAAAUGUCUGUUACAUCCCCAGUUUAUGAUACAUGGUUAAAACAGCCCUAGCAAACUAACCCAGGCACGGAGCGCUACCGUUGAGUGAGAAACAUCUGCUCUGUUCCUUGAGGCUGACUAUUUGGCUACUGAAAGGCUUUCUGUCUUCUAUCCUCCCGCUCAUGUAUCCCCACAAUAACUCCCAUAACCUCAGACAACCCGAGCCUGUCUGCUCCCUGGAAGCUGAAAGAACUUCAGUAACUCAGUUGGAGUGCAGGCAGCAGUGUUUGGGAAGGAGUAAAUGAAGCAGUUGGAAGCAAAGAAGCUGCUGCUUUGGGAUCCGCAAAUCAGAGGAUCAGGAAAUGUGAAACAACUUUCCUGACAGCUUCAGGGAGUGACAUCCAGGCAGGAACUCGGCGGCUUGGCAGAGCUGGAGGAGGAUAGCAGCGCUCUUUUUCCAACCUGGAAACAGCCCAUUCAGUCAAUAACUCACCUCCAGUGCCUUUUCCUAAAGCAUUUACAGUCAGGAGAACAAAUUCAGACCAAGAGAAGAAUCUUCAAGUGGACUUCAGGCGGAUCCUACUCCAUGUACUUUCACAAGAGAUCUAGUCCCUUCCUUGCAUUCGAGGCCUCUCCAGCAUCUGAACAAGGAAAUAACAUUGGGACUGCUAUCUGCUGAAGUCUCUGCUGCAGCAAAUGGUACUGUGGCCACCAGUGGGAGGGGCAUACUCUACAAUCUCCUCCGAAAAUGUGAGCAUUCUCAAAAGCACCCUUCAUGCCAUUUGGGUAUAAAUGAAGAGAAAGGAAGAAUAUCGAUCACACAGUGCUUGAAAUUUCCUGGAAGCUGUUACUUCAUGCUUAUUACAUAGUCACCAUAUGACCUUUUAUUAGUUGUUUGCAGGCCAUUUCUCCAACUAAAUUUUAAGCUCUGGUGGUAAAGGGUCAGGGUCCUGCCAUUUUAUUUUCAUACCCUGCACCCUUGCAAAAUUCUAGGCUCAUACAGGAGCUUACUAAAGCUUGCCAGAAUAUUUGAAUUAACUAACAUAACUAACUUCAUAAUUAACCACAAAUUCAUAUUAAUCAUGCUAAAUGAGGGAAGAUGGCAUUGAGCCAUGUUGACAGCUAGCCUACACAGAGCAUCACUGUGUGACACAGAGUUUCUAUGGGGACUCCAAGGAGGAGGCUGGGAGCUCUGAAAACCCCUUUCAGAGGCAGAAUACUUGAAGGAGGAAAAUAUGUUUAAAUGGGGCAAAGGGAGAUUGUCAAGAGAAGAUAAUACCCCGUUUUUAAAAGCCCUGUCCUAAACCACUCAGGCUGCCCAAGAAUGGAGCAGGGCAUCUCACAAAGCCACAGCUGUCCUUGCUGGGCAGAUGAAAGCUGAGUCUGAAGGAUCAUCUGCAGGAAGAGCUGUGAGUCCUCUACGGCCGUGUCUAAAUUUAGGUGUCUCUGAUUCAAAGUGGCAAGCCCAACAUACCCCGCACACCAUCCCCUCUCCUUGGAAUAAAGAACAACAGGAGACCACGCCCCAAGAAAAGUAUACAUGAUGGUGCAAGUACAAAUUGGCCACUUGGCUCACCUCAGGGAGCGUCCUUCCCAGGCCCCUUCCACAUUUCUCUGUGGUUCGGUUUCCAAAGAGUCUGGCUUAAGCACUGCCCUCCCUGCUACCCUCCUGCCUCACUUCUAGAAACAGUUCCUGAAUAGAAAAACAUUCCAGUUUCUACCUAAGGUACCAGACAUGUGAAUAUAUUAGUUUUCAAUUGCUACCUAACAAGUUGCCACAAACUAAGUGUCUUAAAACAUUUAUGUAUUAUCUCAUGGUUUCAUGAGUUAGAAGUCCAGGCAAGUGGAGCUGAGCUGCUUAGGGCCUCACAAAGCUAACAUCAUGGUGUUAGCUGGGGCAUCAGUCUCAUGUGGAGCUCAGAGUGUUCCCAGACUCACUCAGAUUGAUGACAGAAUUUUGAUUCUUGCAGUUGUAGAACUGAGGCCACAUCUUCUGGCUGGAUGUCAGUUGGGGGCUGCUUUCAGCUCCCAAAGGCCACCCUAAGGUCCUAUCCAUGUGGUCCCCUCCACUGAAAGUUCUAGUGCCUGCUCUGUUUCUGUCCCUUUUAAGGACUCACCUAUCAGGCCAGGCCCACCAUGGAUAAUAGGAUAAUCUUCCUUUCCCCAUAAAGACGAGCAUAAUCACCAGGAGUGAUAUUCAUCAUAUUCACAGGUCGUGCCUAUCCUUAAGGGGAGAGAGAUGAUACAGGGUAUCUAUAUCAAGGAGCAGGAAUCUUGGGGACCAUCUUAGAAUUCUACUGCCACAGUGAGUACAGUAUAUCUAAAAUGUACUUUGCGUUUUAUCUUGCUUAAACACUUUCUUAUAUAUUGGCCCAUGUUAGCAAGUUAAGUUAAAAAAAAAAAAAAAGUUAAGUAAAAACUAUAAAUAGCACUUAAAGGAGAAGGAAAGAGGCAGAGGUCCAGAACUCCAGUUUGCCAUUUGCUCCCUCCUCCCCAUAUCAGCCAACCUCAGUUGUUUGCAGUAGAGAAAUGCACAUGCCUGAGAUCCCGCUGACCAAAAUGUCACCCAGCACUUCUGUUUAUUAUUCAUUGGGCAUUGUUGAAUUACACUGGUCAUUUCACCCAUUAUGUGCUAAAUGAUGUGCUAAAUCUGGAGCAUGGGGAGAAAACAGGGAAACCCUGGGGGAAGAUUGCUUUGGGAUGGGCUGACCUGGCCCCCCUUGGCUGCACGUCUGGGUUCAGGCCAUCCUCCCAUCUCCCCUCCCUAACCCUGCAGAGAGUAUCUGCACUUCAGGUUAGUGCUGGCAGCUCUAGAAUUUCCUGUACAUGGGAAUAUACAGGAUUCACCCCCUCUGUGUAAGGGUUCUUCCACUGAGUGUGAAGUUGUGUGAUCCUCUCUGUUGUUGCCUGUUCUCAAGAUUCGUUCCCUUUAUUACCUGAGUAAUGUGAUUGCACCACAGUUGGUUUUCAUUGUCUCAUAGAUGGACACCUGAGAUAUUUCCAAGUUGUGCCUAUCAUGAAUAAAGCUGCUGUGAACAUUCUAGUAUAGGACAAAAGGAUGAAAAGAAGUUUGAAGUCUGUCUUCUGUCUUUUAAUCUUAUUUAUAAUUUUUAAAUAAAAGGUUUCUAAUUUCAAUGG